rnacentral:rRNA from 1 species
UUCCGGGGUUAUUGGGCGUAAAGGCUCGCAGGCGGUUUCUUAAGUCUGAUGUGAAAGCCCCCGGCUCAACCGGGGAGGGUCAUUGGAAACUGGGGAACUUGAGUGCAGAAGAGGAGAGUGGAAUUCCACGUGUAGCGGUGAAAUGCGUAGAGAUGUGGAGGAACACCAGUGGCGAAGGCGACUCUCUGGUCUGUAACUGACGCUGAGGAGCGAAAGCGUGGGGAGCGAACAGGAUUAGAUACCCUGGUAGUCCACGCCGUAAACGAUGAGUGCUAAGUGUUAGGGGGUUUCCGCCCCUUAGUGCUGCAGCUAACGCAUUAAGCACUCCGCCUGGGGAGUACGGUCGCAAGACUGAAACUCAAAGGAAUUGACGG